AUGCCCGGCGAGCGGCAAGGAAGGUCGUUGCAAGCUAGCAUGAGAGCUGAGAGAUGGCUCAACGCCUUUGUCCGGAUGAUUGCCUUGCUAGAGAGGGUGGGUAACGCCCUCGGUACCCUGGCAUUCAUUUGGGGGACGGUGGUGGUGCUCGGCGGCUUCGCGGCGUACCUGGGCACAGAUUUUUGGGUCGCUACUGUGAUUGUCUUCCUCGAGGGUUUCAGGGCAUUUAGCCGGGAAAGCAGUUCGGAUGAUCAAUUUUUAUUCAAGACUACAGGAGGCAUCAAUCUCGAAAGAACGGGACUAGGUACUAGAAGUGGAUCUCUAAAUUAUGCAAAUGCAGUGAUAAUGACAGCUUGCAUGUUGAUGUUGCCUGCUCUUGAAAUCAUUCACUAUCGUAGCUCAGUUCCAGUGCUCCAAGAUAGUGAUGGUGUUUUUUUGCUUAUGUUAGUGGUGACAACGCAUAAGCUGGGGUUUUACACACUUAUUGGAUACAUUAGCACGAACAGAAGCCACAUACUGUUGCACUUUAUUCCGGCAGCUUCUCUCCUACUUGUUUGGGUUGGACACCGCUAUUUAGAAGGAUACUGCUUGGAUUAUUGUGGAUUUGUUUAUCUGAAUCACAGGCUAAUUCUUCUAUGGUUCAGCAUCUACAUUUUAGCGAGGUUUGGAUCGCCGGGAGAUGGUUGUCCAUAUCACAGAAUGGUUAAAGUAGUAGCACGACUAUUCCGUAUUAUAUUGCUUGGUGUAGUAAUUUGGAGAUUGUCAGGCUGGUUUGGGCCUAUGGGCUUGCUGGCGCUGUUAAGCCCGUUGGUGCUAGGCAACCUACAGAUUCCAAUGGCUUUGGCACGAAUCAUGUUCUCAUAUGUGUGGCUUGUCACCAAGGAUAUUGAAGUUCAUGAGACGAAAAACCAAAACGUCAUCCGAGCAGUGCAGAUGUUGUACAUAGUGGUGAUGUGUCAAGGGAUACUCUAUUGUUUGGCGUGCAUACUGGAGCCAUUAUCUUUCUUGCAACGGAGAUCACUGGCCCUUGAUUGUAAACUCUCAGAUAAGUUGGGGAUGGAAUCUAUUGAUCUCUACUACGAACAAGCCUUUGACACCUUCUUGAAAGAAAGUGUGUUCGACAGUACAAAGAAAGUGGACCUUGCCACCUUUGCUGUGGACUCCCUGAACCCCAUGGCAUCACGGGACAGGAAGCGUGCUGCUGUCCGAAUCUUGGCCUCCUUUCUGCAGAGUCACGCGACCUCCAGCACCAAUGACACAAAUAUUAUCUCUCUGAUCACCACCUCCACCGAUGCCGUGACCACCUUGAUCAGCAUGCUGGAAUGGACAGUCACAGAAGAUGCAGAUAUCAGGCUAUUCGCCACGAAGGUCACUGCUCAACUUGCUCCGAACCUACGGAUCAUCGGUAUUCCCGGAACUAUGCACAAGAUAUCUUUACUUCUUGAUGCCCAAGAUCAGCCGAUUAUACAGAAUAGUCCUGCCCAGAUUGUGCUUGGAAAUGGAGGCAACACAGAUAAUCAGCAAAGCACCAAUGCUUCUGCAACAGUGGACCAAAACAGAAGAAACAUUGGUAGACAACAAACAAGAAUGCGCAGUGCUUUAAGUUUUUUACGGCUGGACAUUGAGGGAGGGAACGCGCCAGAAGUGCCAGGUCGCUCUCGGAUUUGCAAAUUCUUACUUUUUCUGAUGGAGGAGAUAUGCAAAUUUGGGGAACACAUCGAGAAGCUGUUGUCGAUUCCACACAAGGAAUCCGAGGAUAACGACUCGCUCCCUGUACUGGGCAUGCAAAUCCUUGAAGGGCUGGCUCAUGAUAUCCACAACUGUGCAGAAAUCAGCAGAGCUACAGAGCUCCUCCCGAAGAUAAUAGAGUUCAUGAGCUUUGUGCCUGGCACAGUGGUAGAACAGCGACAAAAGAUUGCCAUGUCAUCACUAAGAUUAGUUGCCAAGCUUGGAAGCAUCAAAGGAAAAAUCGGCAUAACAUUGGUACAAGAUCUUUCUGAGAAUCCCUUGCUGAUUGGCAACCUUACCGAGAUUUUGGAGCUAGAGGAAAACUCUAACCCUGAACAAGUGAAGCUGGCGAUGGAUAUCAUUGCCAAGAUCGCGGUGGAUAAGAAAACAAGGCAAAAGAUUUGGACAGUACAAGUUAUCAUUGACAAGCUGCUGAAUGCGUUUCUUCUGGAUGAUGAAUCGUUAGCACCACUGGCAGGGGAAGCACUCGCGAUGCUGGCAACUGAAAGCCCAGUCCACUGCUCUGGUUUGUUGGUCAAAAGGAAUUACGAGCUUAUCAGGGAUCUGGCUGACAAGCUUCAGCGUAGUCAGCAUGUAUACCCAGCAGCAAGUCUACUCCAAAGGUUCUGCGAAAACUCGACGCAAUUACUGCUGGCGCAUCAAGAUUCAAGGGAUCGCUUGUCAUCUACCUUGACAGUGGUCUUGGGAAGAAUAGUGGAUGUUGAGGGCAAGCAGAUGGAGGCACUGAUCAGCCUAGCUUCACAAAUCUGCAGUGCAGGCAUUACCCCUGUACUGAACUCUUCUGCAAAUGCUGUGCCAUUUGUUGAGAAAUUGGUGCGUGAACUCAAGGCCCGCAAGAUACCAGGUGCCGAUGAAUUUCCAGAUAUGAGGAGGCUGCUGGUACAGCUCACAUUAUCCAUCGCGGAAUACUGUGAUGGCUACGCAUUCAUCUUCAAGCAACACGGGAUGAUGGAUGUUCUUUCAAAGGUGGAACAGUACAUGGGGUUGGUUUCAGAGGAGCAUGGAGCUCUGAACGACAAGGUGGCCAGAGCAAAGGGGCUCAUCGACGCCGCCACAAGUUAA
rnacentral:rRNA from 1 species